CCUACGGGAGGCUGCAGUGGGGAAUAUUGCGCAAUGGGCGAAAGCCUGACGCAGCGACGCCGCGUGAGGGAUGAAGGUCUUCGGAUCGUAAACCUCUGUCAGCAGGGAAGAACGGUCACUGUGCUAAUCAGCAGUGAAUUGACGGUACCUGCAAAGGAAGCACCGGCUAACUCCGUGCCAGCCGCCGCGGUAAUACGGAGGGUGCGAGCGUUAAUCGGAAUUACUGGGCGUAAAGCGCUCGUAGGCGGUAUGUCAAGUCAAGGGUGAAAUCCCCGCGCUCAACGUGGGAACUGCCUUUGAAACUGGCAAACUGGAGUGUGUGAGAGGAUAGUGGAAUUCCAGGUGUAGGAGUGAAAUCCGUAGAUAUCUGGAGGAACAUCAGUGGCGAAGGCGACUAUCUGGCACAUAACUGACGCUGAGGAGCGAAAGCGUGGGUAGCAAACAGGAUUAGAUACCCCAGUAGUC
rnacentral:rRNA from 1 species